CGGAGUAACGCGUGGGUAACCUGCCUCAUACAGGGGGAUAACAGUUAGAAAUGACUGCUAAUACCGCAUAAGCGCACAGUGCUGCAUGGCACAGUGUGAAAAACUCCGGUGGUAUGAGAUGGACCCGCGUCUGAUUAGCUAGUUGGUGGGGUAACGGCCUACCAAGGCGACGAUCAGUAGCCGGCCUGAGAGGGUGACCGGCCACAUUGGGACUGAGACACGGCCCAA
rnacentral:rRNA from 1 species